rfam:Desulfobacteraceae bacterium 4484_190.3 ex4484_190.3_scaffold_44136, whole genome shotgun sequence.
CUUUCUGAUUCAAAACUACCCGAUGCCCAAGCCGGGUGGGAAAAGGCGCUUACAGUCGUCUUGGCAGCUAUGGGCGGUUCCAAUUAUGUCCACCAUUCCG